rnacentral:sRNA from 1 species
GCACGACCGGAAAACGGUGAAGGGUCCCUU